rnacentral:rRNA from 1 species
UACGUAGGGUGCAAGCGUUAAUCGGAAUUACUGGGCGUAAAGCGCGCGCAGGCGGCUCUUUAAGUCUCGUGGUCAAAUGCCGGGGCUCAACCCCGAGCGUGCCGGGGAUACUGGAGGGCUGGAGACAGGUAGAGGCAAGCGGAAUUCCGGGUGUAGCGGUGGAAUGCGUAGAGAUCCGGAAGAACACCGGAGGCGAAGGCGGCUUGCUGGACCUGGUCUGACGCUGAGGCGCGAAAGCGUGGGGAGCGAACAGG